rnacentral:misc_RNA from 1 species
AACUUUUAGCAAUGGAUCUCUUGGCUCUCGCAUCGAUGAAGAACGCAGCGAAAUGCGAUAAUUAAUGUGAAUUGCAGAAUUCAGUGAAUCAUCGAAUCUUUGAACGCACCUUGCGCUCCUUGGUAUUCCGAGGAGCAUGCCUGUUUGAGUGUCAUUAAUAUAUCAACCUUCUCUUGUUGAGUGGUUUGGAUGUGGGGGUUUGCUGGCCUCUUUAAAAGGUUUUAGCUCCCCUGAAAUGCAUUAGCAGAACAACCCCGUUCAUUGGUGUGAUAACUAUCUACGCUAUUGAAUGUGAAGGGCAGUUUGGCUUUCUAACAGUCCUUGGACAGCUCAUCAUUAAUGUGACCUCAAAUCAGGUAGGACUACCCGCUGAACUUAAGCAUAUCAAUAAGCGGAGGCU